CCAAAAUCCAACUUUUCUAGACGUCAUAACGGCAACGUCGAAACAACGUCAAAUUAAAACAUCAUUUGACGUUGAUCUGUAGUUAUUUUUAGGUUGUGGCAUUAACUAACCAAAAUCCAACGUCGAGCCAACGUCUCAAGCCAACGUCACACUGACAUCAAAUACUGAUAUUAAGAUGUCAGGUAUGGCAACCAAAAUCCAACGUUAUCUAGACGUCAUAAUGGCAACGUCCAAACAACGUCAAAUUAAAACAUAAUUUGACGUUGAUCUGUAGUUUUUUUUAGGUUGUGGCAUUAACUAACCUAAACCCAACGUCGAGCCAACGUCUCAAGCCAACGUCACAUUGACAUCAAAUACUGAUGUUUAGUCGUCAGGUAUGGCAACCAUAAUCCAACGUUUUCUAGACGUCAUAAUGGCAACGUCCAAACAACGUCAAAUUAAAACAUCAUUUGACGUUGAUUUGUAGUUAGUUUUAGGUUGUGGCAUUAACUAACCAAAAUCCAACGUCGAGCCAACGUCUCAAGCCAAUGUCACACUGACAUCAAAUACUGAUCUUAAGUCGUCAGGUAUGGCAACCAAAAUCCAACGUUUUCUAGACGUCAUAACGGCAACGUCGAAACAACGUCAAAUUAAAACAUCAUUUGACGUUGAUCUGUAGUUAGUUUUAGGUUGUGGCAUUAACCAACCAAAAUCCAACGUUUUUUAGACGUCAUAAUGGCAACAUCCAAACAACGUCAAAUUAAAACAUCAUUUGACGUUGAUCUGUAGUUAGUUUUAGGUUGUGGCAUUAACUAACCAAAAUCCAACGUCGAGCCAACGUCUUAAGCCAAUGUCACAUUGACAUCAAAAACUGAUGUUUAGUCGUCAGGUAUGGCAACCACAAUCCAAAAUUUUCUAGACGUCAUAAUUGCAACGUCCAAACAACGUCAAAUUAAAACAUCAUUUGACGUUGAUCUGUAGUUAGUUUUAGGUUGUGGCAUUAACUAACUAAAAUCCAACGUCGAGCCAACGUCUCAAGCCAAUGUCACACUGACAUCAAAUACUGAUAUUAAGAUGUCAGGUAUGGCAACCAAAAUCCAACGUUUUCUAGCAGUCAUAAUG